ACCGCAGGGAGAAGAGGUGGGUUGAGGGGGGAAAAAAAGGAAAAAAGACAAAUUUAGACCUAAAAUCUAAAGCAGGAAAUAAAUUAAUCCAACAAAAACACAGCAACUCGUCCAACUGAUCGGCUGGACGACUCUCACACGCACACACACACACACACAUACACACACGUACGGCAGCAGCAGCAACAGCAUAAAUUCUUGCCAUAAGCGGAGUUACGGCAGGAAUCGCUAACACAUCGCUGACACCCUGGAGCUAAUAAUAAUAAUAAUAAUAAUGCCGUCGCCGCUGCCGCCGCUGCAACGUCUAACCCCAGAGGUAUUGUGGAGUCCGUAAGAAGCAAAGGUUCUGUAUCCAUAGACCGACAGACAGACCGAUAGACCGACAGACUGACUGGCGACACAGAGGGAAGGCCAGUCAACCGAACACAUCUCGCUCCCUCCCCCUGUGUGUGUGUGUGUGUGUGUGUGUGUGUGUGUGUGUGUCCGCAGUUGUGAUAGUAUUGGUGGUGGUGGUGAUGGUGAUGGUGGUGGCAAUAGUAGCAGUAGUAGUAGUAGCAGUAGUAGUAGUAGCAGUAGUAGUAGUAGUAGUAGUAGUAGUAGUAGUAACAGUUUGGGCAAUUUUGGCUCCUAUAUACUAUUUCCGAGACCAAUAAUAUAAUAGUAAUAGUAGUAGCAAUAGUAAUAGUUAGGCCAGAGGGGAGGGAGGGAGGGUCAGAGGGAGGGAUAGUAACAACAGUAAUACCAGUAGAAACAAUUUAAUAGCACCAGUAGUAGUAGUAGUAGUAGUAGUAGUAGUAGUUUUAACAAUAGCAUAAUAAGGGGAUAUCUUCAUGCAUCUAGUUAGCACCUCUAUAGAUUAUAAGCAAACCAACUUCUUCGUAAAUCAUAUCACUUUAGGGUUAGGCCGAGACAUGCAGGGAAAGGUGUGUAUGUGUGUUGUGUGCGUAUGGGGUCAGUGUGCAUAUGUAUGUGUGUGUAUGUAUUUGUGUGUGUGUGUGUGUGUGUGUGUGUGUGUGUGUGUGUGUGUGUGUGUGUGUGUAAGGAGACGGAAGAAAGAGGAGAGGAUAUAGAGAGUUCAACAUUCUUUACAUCUAUGAGCAGGAGGAGGAGGAGGAGGAGGAUCAAGGGUGGUAUUCAAUCUUCCAUCUGUACACUGUGGAAUCUGAUCUUGUUGUUGGUGGUUCAGGUACAUAAUAAAGGGUGUUUGAUUCUCUUGUGCAAAGGGAAAGGUAAGGAAGGGAAAGUAAGGAAAAGUAAGGAAAGGAAGUGAAUGAUAAGAUGAGAAAAAGGGAAAGACUGUAAGGAAAAUGUGAAGGAAAAUAAAGGAAGGGAAAUAAGAUGUUUUUUGACAGUGAAGGAAAAGGAAGAAAAAGAAAGAAAAAUAAUCAAGAUGUAUUUAGCGAUGCGAAAGAAAGAAAAGAAAAAGAAUUAAUAAGAUGGGUUUUUUUGCAAGUGUUAAGGAAAGAAAAAAAGGGAAAGAAAGAAAAUAAUUAAUAAGAUGUUGUUUAACUAAGUCCUCAUUAAAUAAAAGAAAUAAUAAUAAUAAUUGGUGACACAAAUUUAGACAAGGGAUGGCAGGAAAUGCUCUGAACAAUAACAAUAAUAAUAAUAAUAAUAAUAAUAAUAAUAAUAAUAAUAAUAAUAAUAAUAAUAAUAAUCUCACUUGCAGGUUAGGAAGAGGUGCAUUCAUUAGCAAAGGAAAUAACUCAAAUUCAUUCUAAUACUAAUUCUAAAAGUCAAAUCAGAACCAUAACAAAACAAACGUAAACAAGUCAAAUGAAAGCCCAAAACAACAUAACCAAAGAAGUACAUACAAACAUUAUGCACAGCCAAUUCAUAACACAUACUCAUACAAAACCACACACACAUACAUACAUACAGGCAUAGGCUAUUAAAUUAAGUAAAAAAAAAAAUCUAAUAUGCUGCUUGCUACUACAACAACAACACACUGCAUGGGAUGACUGACCAGGCAGGGAGGGAGGGAGGGAACGGAGGAGGAAUGGAGGGAGGGAGGAAGGGAAAAAGGGAGGGAACGGGAGGGGAUGGGAAGGAACAAGGGGAGGAACUGGAAUGGAACGGAGGAAAGUUUGGAGGAAUAAGGGAGGGAUGGAGGGAAGUUUGGAGGAAUUGGGAGGGAAGAAGGGAUGAAUGAGGGAGCGAUGGAGAGAAAAAGAAAGGAGAGAAGAAGGGAGGGAGGGAUGGAGGUAACACGGAGGGACGGAGAGAAAUACAUACAGGGAGAGAAAAUAUUAAAGUUACGCCUCACACAAGGGACAUAAAAAUACGUAAAUAAAUAAAAUAAAUAAAUAAAAAAAGGAGGAAGGGAUGUUCUCAAAUGCUCCGAUGCUGAAAAAUGAAGAAAGAGAAGAAGGAGGAGGAGGAGGAGGAGGAGGAGGAGGAGGGAGACAAGGAGAUAGCUAGAGAUAAGAUGAGAAUAUAUUGAGAGAUAAGAUGUCGUCAGUCAUAUGAUUUCUUGUGACUUGGAAAAAUGUCUUGUCGUGAGUGCAUAGGAACCACAGACAGACAGACAGACACGGACAGAGAUGCUGAAAUGCCUUAAGAACACACACUGACAGACAGACAGACAUAGAGACAGAUACAUAGACAGACAGACAGAAACAGACAGGGUAGAAUGCUGGAAUGCCUUGACAACACAUACCAAGACAGAUAGACAGACAGGCUAGGAUGCUGGGAUGACAGGAGACACACCAACAGACAGGUAGACAGACAGACAGACAGGCUAGGAUGCAGGGAUGACAGGAGCUUGGAACACACACAUAUACACACACACACGCUAUAGGUAACUCAACUAUCAACGGGUCUACCCCAUACGUAACACCAUGAACCAGUCUCGCUAUAAAAAAAUACAGUUGCUAGGUAUGCAUCGGGGGCCACCAAGCUCUCGGCACAGCACGGAAGCACCAGUAACAAUGAUGGUAAUUGUAAUCCAUUCAAGACGUAUAUCUAGCUAUGGGGGUGUACGUGACGUCAUAUCGCUACGCCCAAAGACCGAAUUGGGCCUGGGGGAUGCGGCAAUCAGGGGGAGGGGGGUCACCAAGCUCGCUCUCACACGGUGCGGGCGGGGAAAUCAAGGAAAAAAAGCGAUUACGUCUACGGCUACGCUCGACACGACAACAGCCAGAAAAACUAAAAUAAAAUAAAGGAUAAAUAAAUGAAAAUGAUGUCGAAAUACGAGACACUACAUUGAUAAAAAAAAAGAUAAUAAUAAUAAUAAUCGUAGAAGCAGCGAUCAAUAGCAAGCUACUAUUAUGUUACACUAGCACACGAGCAUAAAAAAAAAAAUAAUAAUAAUAAAUCAAACAAAAAACGCGAAAUAAACAGGAAAACAAGAAAAAAAAAAAACACAAACACACGUACAUACACACAUACACAAAACAACACAUAGAGAGAUUUUUAAGUAGAAAAAGAAAAAAAAAGCAUGAACUCAAAGAGAAACUAAAGAAAUAAAAAGAAAAAGAAAAAAUUGUGUAGAAGUUGUGCUGAUGAUGACGGAGAGAGAGGGAGAGAGAAAGAGAGAGAGAGAGAGAGGGAGAGAGAAAGAGAGAGGGAGAAAAGAAAGAAGAGGGAGAGGGAGAACUAGAACUAACUAUAAUCUAUUCUAUCUAUUAUUCUUGACUGAAAGGGAGCAUUGAGAAGAGGCAGAAUAAGGGAGAUGAGAUACUGAGGGCUAACUUAGGUGUGUACUAGAAGGGUUGAAAAGAUUAGGUUAGUUAGGUUAGGUGUGUGUGUGUGUGUGUUGAGGGGCAGAAUAGGAGAGGUGAGAUACUGAGAACUAACUUAUGUGUGUACUAGAAGGGUUGAAAAGAUUAGGUUAGUUAGGUUAGGUUAGGUGUGUGUGUGUGUUGAGGGGCAGAAUAGGAGAGGUGAGAUACUGAGUGCUAACUGAACUAAUGUGUGUGUAGAUGGUGUGGAAAGGUUAGGUUAGGUUAAGUUAUUGUCCAUAUUUUUAAACCCAUCGGUGCCUCAGUUCCCGUUUGAAAAGCAUCUCUUAAAAGUUGCAGUGAUAGUUUUAAACUGCACCUUGAACAGAUAAAAAAGAAACCAUAAAAACUGGGUUAACCUUCUCUGUGGCCUUGGGAAACAGUCGUAAUGGGAGACCAACACGUUUAAGAAAAUGGACCAAGGUUUGUGUGUGGGGUUUGGGUGGAAAGGAUUAAGUGCGGGAGAGUUGAGGACAGAAAACGGAAUAGAGAAAGGAGACACAACUGAAAGCUAACAUAACUUCCUAUAAUAUCUGUUUACGUAUUUAAGUCUGGCAAGGGUGUGAGUGUACGUAAGGGUAGGUGUGUAUGGUAUAAAAAGAGGAGAGAAGAGGGGGCACUAAAAUCAACUUACGAAAGAGCUUAUUCACCUACAUAUUAAAACUUAGCAAGGGUGUGACUGUACGCAAGGGUAGGUGUGUAUGGUAUGAAGAGGAGAAAUACAACAAAAUGGUAAACUACAGUAGAGGGGGAACUAAAACUAACUUACAAAAGAGCUUAUCCACCUACAUAUUAAAACUUAGCAAGGGUGUGACUGUACGCAAGGGUAGGUGUGUAUGGUAUAAAAAGAGGAGAAAUACAACAAAAUGGUAAACUACAGUAGAGGGGGCACUAAAACUAACUUACGAAAGAGCUUAUUCACCUACAUGUUUAAACUUAGCAAGGGUGUGAGUGUAUGGAGGAAAAAGGGAACAGAAUUAGAGACAGGCUGAGCGGGGGAAACUAAACUAGGUACUGUAUAAUGUGUGUUUCAGAGAGGAUGAAAGAGGGAACCCUAUAGCUGACUAGUGACAAAACAUAUUCGCUUAUGCAUUUAACUUUAGCGAGGAGGAGAAGGAGACAGAAUUAGAGAAAGAAGGAGAGGGGAAACUAGUGUGUAUUUCAGAGAGAUGGAGAAUGAUGACAACAGAGAAAAGAAGGAGACAGAGGAAUAGACAGAACACUAAAACUAACGUAACUUAUGGGAAAAAGGAGACAGAACUAGAGAGAGCGAGAGAGUAGAAACGGAAAUUACUGUGUAUUUUAGAAAGGAAAAUGAUGACAACACAGAGAAGAUAAAA